GCCAGUGAUAAACUGGAGGAAGGUGGGGAUGACGUCAAGUCAUCAUGGCCCUUACGAGUAGGGCUACACACGUGCUACAAUGGCAUAUACAAAGAGAAGCGACCUCGCGAGAGCAAGCGGACCUCAUAAAGUAUGUCGUAGUCCGGAUCGGAGUCUGCAACUCGACUCCGUGAAGUCGGAAUCGCUAGUAAUCGUGGAUCAGAAUGCCACGGUGAAUACGUUCCCGGGCCUUGUACACACCGCCCGUCACACCAUGGGAGUGGGUUGCAAAAGAAGUAGGUAGCUUAACCUUCGGGAGGGCGCUUACCACUUUGUGAUUCAUGACUGGGGUGAAGUCGUAACAAGGUAACCGUAGGGGAACCUGCGGUUGGAUCACCUCCUUACCUGAAA
rnacentral:rRNA from 1 species